rnacentral:sRNA from 1 species
CGUCAAGCCAUUAUUUAUACUUUCGGACUCGCGAACAUUUUCGGCAUUUUAAACCAGAAUAUCUUUUUCUGUUGGCGACCUUCGUACCGGAGACCAAAAAAAAAAACGGCCAGAAAUUAUUGCCAGUCAACAAAGGAAAAUAAAACAAGGGGAGAAAUAUAAACAUAAACACAAUAAUCUUUAGGCCCUUUCCUUUCCGGUUCGCACUUUACUUAAUAAAAAUAAAGGAGUACAAUGGGAAGUCCGCGUCUGAAUCUGCCGUUUAC